CCCUUAGAUGUCCUGGGCCGCACGCGCGCUACACUGACUGGUGCAACAAGUGUCUGACCUUGGCUCGAGAGGCCUGGGCAACCUUUGAACGCCAGUCGUGCUGGGGAUAGAUUCUUGCAAUUAUUAAUCUUCAACGAGGAAUGCCUAGUAAGCGCAAGUCAUCAGCUUGCGUUGAUUACGUCCCUGCCCUUUGUACACACCGCCCGUCGCUCCUACCGAUUGAAUGGUCCGGUGAAGCGUUCGGACCGUGGCCUUUGGACGGUUCGCCGUCUGUUGGCUGCGGGAAGUUCGUUAAACCUUAUCAUUUAGAGGAAGGAGAANUCGUAACA
rnacentral:rRNA from 1 species